UCCUGACUGACCGAUAGUGAACCAGUACCGUGAGGGAAAGGCGAAAAGAACCCCGGCGAGGGGAGUGAAAAAGAACCUGAAACCGUGUACGUACAAGCAGUGGGAGCACGCUUAGGCGUGUGACUGCGUACCUUUUGUAUAAUGGGUCAGCGACUUAUAUUCUGUAGCAAGGUUAACCGAAUAGGGGAGCCGAAGGGAAACCGAGUCUUAACUGGGCGUUAAGUUGCAGGGUAUAGACCCGAAACCCGGUGAUCUAGCCAUGGGCAGGUUGAAGGUUGGGUAACACUAACUGGAGGACCGAACCGACUAAUGUUGAAAAAUUAGCGGAUGACUUGUGGCUGGGGGUGAAAGGCCAAUCAAACCGGGAGAUAGCUGGUUCUCCCCGAAAGCUAUUUAGGUAGCGCCUCGUGAAUUCAUCUCCGGGGGUAGAGCACUGUUUCGGCAAGGGGGUCAUCCCGACUUACCAACCCGAUGCAAACUGCGAAUACCGGAGAAUGUUAUCACGGGAGACACACGGCGGGUGCUAACGUCCGUCGUGAAGAGGGAAACAACCCAGACCGCCAGCUAAGGUCCCAAAGUCAUGGUUAAGUGGGAAACGAUGUGGGAAGGCCCAGACAGCCAGGAUGUUGGCUUAGAAGCAGCCAUCAUUUAAAGAAAGCGUAAUAGCUCACUGGUCGAGUCGGCCUGCGCGGAAGAUGUAACGGGGCUAAACCAUGCACCGAAGCUGCGGCAGCGACGCUUAUGCGUUGUUGGGUAGGGGAGCGUUCUGUAAGCCUGCGAAGGUGUGCUGUGAGGCAUGCUGGAGGUAUCAGAAGUGCGAAUGCUGACAUAAGUAACGAUAAAGCGGGUGAAAAGCCCGCUCGCCGGAA
rnacentral:rRNA from 1 species